CUUACGUGGACUCAGACUGCAAUCGCGUGUCGCCCUUCAGAGUUUGAUCCUGGCUCAGGACGAACGCUGGCGGCGUGCUUAACACAUGCAAGUCGAGCGAUGAAGCUUCCUUCGGGAGGUGGAUUAGCGGCGGACGGGUGAGUAACACGUGGGUAACCUGCCUCAAAGUGGGGGAUAGCCUUCCGAAAGGAAGAUUAAUACCGCAUAAUAUAAGAGAAUCGCAUGAUUUUCUUAUCAAAGAUUUAUUGCUUUGAGAUGGACCCGCGGCGCAUUAGCUAGUUGGUAAGGUAACGGCUUACCAAGGCAACGAUGCGUAGCCGACCUGAGAGGGUGAUCGGCCACAUUGGAACUGAGACACGGUCCAGACUCCUACGGGAGGCAGCAGUGGCGAAUAUUGCGCAAUGGGGGAAACCCUGACGCAGCAACGCCGCGUGGGUGAUGAAGGUCUUCGGAUUGUAAAGCCCUGUUUUCUGGGACGAUAAUGACGGUACCAGAGGAGGAAGCCACGGCUAACUACGUGCCAGCAGCCGCGGUAAUACGUAGGUGGCGAGCGUUGUCCGGAUUUACUGGGCGUAAAGGGUGCGUAGGCGGAUGUUUAAGUGGGAUGUGAAAUCCCCGGGCUUAACCUGGGGGCUGCAUUCCAAACUGGAUAUCUAGAGUGCAGGAGAGGAAAGCGGAAUUCCUAGUGUAGCGGUGAAAUGCGUAGAGAUUAGGAAGAACACCAGUGGCGAAGGCGGCUUUCUGGACUGUAACUGACGCUGAGGCACGAAAGCGUGGGUAGCAAACAGGAUUAGAUACCCUGGUAGUCCACGCCGUAAACGAUGGAUACUAGGGUGUAGGGGGUAUCAACUCCCCCUGUGCCGCAGUUAACACAAUAAGUAUCCCGCCUGGGGGAGUACGGUCGCAAGAUUAAAACUCAAAGGGAAUUGACGGGGGCCCACACAAGCAGCGGGAGCAUGUGGUUUAAUUCGAAGCAACGCGAAGAACCUUACCUGGACUUGACAUCCCUUGCAUAGCCUAGAGAUAGGUGAAGCCCUUCGGGGCAAGGAGACAGGUGGUGCAUGGUUGUCGUCAGCUCGUGUCGUGAGAUGUUAGGUUAAGUCCUGCAACGAGCGCAACCCUUGUUAUUAGUUGCUACCAUUAAGUUGAGCACUCUAAUGAGACUGCCUGGGUAACCAGGAGGAAGGUGGGGAUGACGUCAAAUCAUCAUGCCCCUUAUGUCCAGGGCUACACACGUGCUACAAUGGUAGGUACAAUAAGACGCAAGACCGUGAGGUGGAGCAAAACUUAUAAAACCUAUCUCAGUUCGGAUUGUAGGCUGCAACUCGCCUACAUGAAGCUGGAGUUGCUAGUAAUCGCGAAUCAGAAUGUCGCGGUGAAUACGUUCCCGGGCCUUGUACACACCGCCCGUCACACCAUGAGAGCUGGUAACACCCGAAGUCCGUGAGGUAACCGUAAGGAGCCAGCGGCCGAAGGUGGGAUUAGUGAUUGGGGUGAAGUCGUAACAAGGUAGCCGUAGGAGAACCUGCGGCUGGAUCACCUCCUAAGGGCGACACGCGAUUGCAGUUAACACGAGUAUCCU
rnacentral:rRNA from 1 species